rnacentral:tRNA from 1 species
GAAGUGGUGGUUCAGUGACAGAAUUCUUACCUUCCUCACAGGAGACCCAGGUUCAAUUCCUGGCCAAUGCG